rnacentral:lncRNA from 1 species
AUAAGUUGACCCGCUGGACAAAAAAGAACAAAAGAGUCCAGGCAAAAAAGGGCAUCCCGGCGAACCAAAAAAAAAAAAAAAAAAGAGAAAAAGGUUGGGGCAAAAGUUAGGGAUAAAAAUGAAAAGAUGGUACACCCGGUAAGUCGAAAACCCGCAAGGGCGGCUUAGGCAAAAAUGGGUAUCCCGGUGGAUUGAAAACCCGAAAGGGCGAUCCAGGCAAAAGAGGGAUUAAAGCGAAGACUACAGUCGGAGUUAUCUGUACUUCACCGCGCUUCAUCGUCUGCCAUCUCGAAAGAUGUAAUCGGU